rnacentral:rRNA from 1 species
AUUGAACGCUGGCGGCAUGCCUUACACAUGCAAGUCGAACGGCAGCACGGGUGCUUGCACCUGGUGGCGAGUGGCGAACGGGUGAGUAAUACAUCGGAACGUACCUUAUCGUGGGGGAUAACGCAGCGAAAGCUGUGCUAAUACCGCAUACGCCCUGAGGGGGAAAGCGGGGGAUCGCAAGACCUCGCGCGAUUAGAGCGGCCGAUGCCUGAUUAGCUAGUUGGGGGGGUAAAAGCCCAACAAGGCGGAGAACAGUAGCUGGUCUGAGAGGAAGAUCAGGCCAACUGGGGCUGAGACACGGCCCAGACUCCUACGGGAGGCAGCAGUGGGGAAUUUUGGACAAUGGGGGCAACCCUGAUCCAGCGAUGCCGCGUGAGUGAAGAAGGCCUUCGGGUUGUAAAGCUCUUUUGUCAGGGAAGAAACACCGGCUCUAACACAGUCCGGGAAUGACGGUACCUGAAGAAUAAGCACCGGCUAACUACGUGCCAGCAGCCGCCGUAA